AAAUAGGUCGUCUUAUUAAUUUCACUCAAAGAGGGCGAGUAACUCAAUUUCGCCCUCCUUGGUGAAAAAAAUGAAAAAUACCAGGACGACUCCUAUGUAUCGUCGUCUUUCAUCAUACCAAAAAUCUUAAACCCCUUUAAUCCCUCAUUCGUUUUCCCUAAAUCAUUCGUACAUAUUCAACUCUCAUCUUAAGUUAUUAGCUUCUCUCUCUUCCCCCAAAAUAUCCUCCACAAUCCUCCAUAGAUUGUUCAACAAACUAUAAUUUAUUCGAAAAUUGGUCGAAUUUGGCCAACUCGCUCGUUGUCGAGAUUGUAAGCUUGGAGGUGUGUUCGCAAAUUGCUCGAGUUCUGUUCAAAUUAGGUCCAAUUCCGACUUACUGGUAUAAUCUCUCUCUCCUAAACCUUCAACUUCACUCCCAAAUUCCCCUAAUUAGUUGAAAAUUGUUCAUAAACCCUAAUUUACUGAAUGUUAAUCAAAUUGAUUUGCUGCUUUUGUUCGUUAGCUACAUGCAUUAUCAAAAGCUACUGGUAUCAUUGACUUCUCGAGAAAUUAUACAAUUGCAAUUACUGGAGUCAUUUAUUUUGUUUGAAUGUUUCUAGUUCACCAUUAUUUACUUGAACUCAAUUUAGUUACUUACUUUUGUGUUUUUUUGCUGGUAUUUGGUUGUAUUGUUUUGCAUUAUUUGUAUAUUUAUGAUUUAUAUUCGAUGUUUUUUUUAAAAUAUUAUUUAUUUGUAUAUGUACUGAUAUGUGUUGAUUUAAAUUUCGUACAUAUGUUCCAAUUAGACAAUGAUAAUUCAGAUUUUAUUUUGUUAAAGACUAAAGUAUGAAAUUAUAUGUCCUGGAUGUAUGGAAGGAUUAAGGUAUGACCCAAUAUUGAAGAUUUGAGUUUGUAUAAUCAUGUAUUCUUAUCAGUGGUAAAAAUGAAUAAUGUUUGUCUCUCUUGGUUUAUGAGAGAAAAACCAAUAUUGAAGAUUUGAGUUUGUAUAAUCAUGUAUUCUUAUCGGUGGUAAAAAUGAAUAAUGUUUGUCUCUCUUGGUUUAUGAGAGAAAAAAAGAUGAACGAGUGUUUGUAGGACAACCCGGAGAAGCUGCAGGCAUAUGCUUUUGUCACCGAUGCAAGUUCCAUAGUGAAUGUAUUCAUUUAGGGGUGAGACUGGCAGGUUAGGGCUUAACUCUAUGUUAUCAGGAACUUGAGGCAGAGGACAAAGUGAUCAGCGUGAAGAUGAGUCUGAGGUCAUUGAAUUUAAUGUGUCUUGUUCAAAUUAACUGUACUAUUAGAUUAUAUCCUCUAUGAGUAUAGCUUAUAUCCAUGUUUUGGUGAGUUACUAUCGGUUGUGUAUCUAUUAAUUUAGUGGUUCUAAGUGCGGGAAAGAGAUAAAUACAAGCAUUUGAUUGUGGCAAUAUUCAGCAAAUAUUCAGGCAAUUGAAUGUUUGGAUCUCAUGUAAAUUUAUCAAACAAUUUGUUUAUAAACUAAAGAUGUCAACAGAAAAACUUCGUGAAAAUUGAUCUUGUUUAUCUCAAGCUAAGAAACUGAGGAGUAUAUUGUUUACGGAUGUUUAAAAAGAAACAAGAAUAUCCUCAGGGUGAAAUUGUUUUCGACGCUAUUGACUGGAAACACUAUCUGGGCGAUCAUACUUAUGUCUCAGUAGCUGAUAGUGUUUACUGGCAAGUCUGUAAAGCUUUAGUUUACGAAGUUGAUAUCUCAUUUUUGUGGCUUCCUUUACUUGAAACUUGAAUCAUGAUAUUGCUUUUGUGUUGAAUAGAUAGAGCUAGAAGGUCUUGACAUUGCAAACAAUUUAACAAGUAAAGUCCCUGACUGCACAUUCAACAAGUUAAGUUCUUUCAUACUGUUACAAUUUACAACGAUAAGUAAGAGGAAAGCAGGAAUCAUAUUUCAUGGGUGUGUUGCUGCUGUUGAUUCAGGGACAUCCUUAAUUGUCGGUCCAACGAUGAUGGUCGCAGAGAUUAAUCAUGUCAUAGGAGCAGAUUGGAUAUUCAACUCGGAAUGCAAAACUGUUGUUUCAAAAUAUGGGAUGUUUCGAUAGUAGGAGUUUGUCCCAGUGUAUUUUUCACUCUCAGUCUUUUAAUUUCUUUAAUUUCUUUAAUUUCUUUCAUGUUUAUUUGAGAAACUCUUGUAUUCUUUUCACUCAAUGUCAGUUAUAAAUUUUCUUGUUGGUC